UGCAGCACCUGCUGGAUGUGAGAUCACUGAAGUAUCUGAGCGGCCUGACGCUCCACGACCGCAUCACCAAAUCACUGCUGCAUCUGCACAAGAAGAAGAAGCCUCCCAGCAUCAGCGCGCAGUUCAACGUGUCUCUGAACAAGCUGAUGGAGACUCUGGGACAGUCCGAGCCGUACUUUGUCAAAUGCAUCCGCUCUAAUGCGGAAAAGCUUCCUCUGCGUUUCAGCGACGUGCUGGUGUUGAGACAGUUACGCUACAGCGGCAUGCUGGAGACGGUGCGGAUACGGCGCUCCGGAUACAGCGUCAAAUACAGCU